rnacentral:lncRNA from 1 species
UGGAGAAUUUAUCUUAAUAGAUAAAAAUAGUAAGGCUAAUUCUUCGUUUAUUUGAUGGAUUGAAACUCUUGGAGUUAAUUUUUAACUCCAGUAUUAUUUUGUUUUGCCUUUCAUCACGUUUUUGCAGGCCUUAAAACAAAGUCAAAGUCAGUUCCUACAAGAUAGGAAACAUGGAGAAAGGAAGAGAAGGGGUUGAGGG